UACGUAGGGUGCAAGCGUUGUCCGGAAUUAUUGGGCGUAAAGAGCUCGUAGGCGGUCUGUUGCGUCGGCUGUGAAAACCCGGGGCUCAACCCCGGGCCUGCAGCCGAUACGGGCAGACUAGAGUUCGGCAGGGGAGACUGGAAUUCCUGGUGUAGCGGUGAAAUGCGCAGAUAUCAGGAGGAACACCGGUGGCGAAGGCGGGUCUCUGGGCCGAUACUGACGCUGAGGCGCGAAAGCGUGGGGAGCAAGCAGG
rnacentral:rRNA from 1 species